UACGAAGGGGGCUAGCGUUGCUCGGAAUCACUGGGCGUAAAGCGCACGUAGGCGGAUCUUUAAGUCAGGGGUGAAAUCCCAAGGCUCAACCUUGGAACUGCCUUUCGAUACUGGGGAUCUCGAGUCCGGAAGAGGUUGGUGGAACUGCGAGUGUAGAGGUGAAAUUCGUAGAUAUUCGCAAGAACACCAGUGGCGAAGGCGGCCAACUGGUCCGGUACUGACGCUGAGGUGCGAAAGCGUGGGGAGCAAACAGGG
rnacentral:rRNA from 1 species